UUUUUACUUAUCAACAGAUGGUUCCCAUGGAAAUUUGCCUGUGACACGGCCCAGCGCAUGCCAGGGGUUGGCAAUACGUGACCGCAGCCGGUCCAACUGGCGGGCAGCAGAGCUGGGGAGCGGGCGAUCUCUAUGGUUACCAUGGCGACCAGCCUGCGACAUGGUGCACGGUGACGUCACUAGUGGGCGUUGCGGAAGCGGUGCCGGACCCAUGGACAGACGUGUUGCGCCAUUGAGCAGGGACAGGGCCCACUCUUGCUGUUGGGUGGGAAACAAUGUGAAGAAAACCUGCAGGUUUACCAUGUUGGAACAUCCUACCUGGACACCGAAAAGAUGUGGACACUUCACCCUUACAACACACACUUGGAAGGCCUACUGGUGAUGUGGAAACCCCCUUGUGUCGUGUAUACCUUUCAGGUUUUCCUUGGAUGUAUUUGCAGACCCAGACCUUGAACCCCUCUACUGUGGAAAGUGGUGCUUACACCCCCCCUGUACCUGGACGGCCUACUUGUGAUGAGGACCCCCCACUCUGGUGUAACCAGGAGACCCUUCAGGUUUCCCUUGGAUGUACUUGCAGACCUUGAACAGCCUUGGAUACUCUGAAUUACCCCACACCCCUUGAAUGUCUACUUCUAAUUGAUGUGGAAUAGUAAUUUACUAUUACUUUAACAAUUAUUGAAAGACAACACAA